ensembl:lncRNA
GAGAAAAGGAGCAUUUCAUUAUAGAAAGUUUUGCCAGGGAACUGACAAAGGAGAGCUCUAGAAUCCCUUCCAUUGUGCUGAUAAGGGCAUAGCUGUGAAGCAGUUAUGGCCAAGCUGGCAGCAGCUCAACAUCACGCAGCUCAAAACCAUCCCUUCCAAGGUGGGAUGAGAGAACUGGAAGCAAAACAGAAUUUAUGGGUUGAAGUAAAAACUAUUUUCUAAGUAGGAAAGGAAAAAUUGAAAGAAAAAUGUAGUGAUAACAAUAUAUAUAAAUAUACACGGUGCAAUUAUUCCCCAUUCACCAACUGACACACAGCAACAAUACAAUUUCCCACGAACUGAUGCCCUGCUACCAGUGCAACACCUCACAACCUUCUGGCUGACACCCAAGAAACAACACAACUGCCCACUGAUCAUUCCACAAGGAUUACGUGCUUGUUGCUGAACAACAUAUAGGUUUAAUUAUUUCAGAACAAGACAGUUCUCCAUCCCAACAAAGUUCUUGCACUACAGAAGGCUUCAUUCUGCUUUGCUGAUUCACUGUGAGACACUGUUUUGUACUGACAAUAUUACAGAAAGGAGAGAGCAGAUCUUUCUUCAGGAAUACUCAAAUUCAUGAACAGUUUUUUGCAGGAACCUAUGUCAACUCUGCACGAAAGGUCGCUUUGACUGUACUGGAAGGAAUCAUCUUACAUACAACUUAGAAGGAAGGCUUCUGGCUUGAUCCAGCUAUAGAAAUGUU